UGCAAACCUCAAAGUUCACCAAUGUGUCCACACUGGGGAGAGACCAUACAGAUGUGAUGAGUGUAAGAAGACUUUUACAACUUUGGGUUCCCUGAAACAACACCAGCAGAUCCACACCAGAAAGAAAGCAUUCAAUCAGUGUCACAGUGAGAACGGAACAGAUGGACAAAACCCUCAGACUUGUCAGCACUCUGCCAAUGGUGAACAGUGCUGCUUUGACCAGUCUGGACCAAUGUCCAGCCAACAGGGAACCCUACAAUGACACCAGCGUAUGCACACUGGACACAGACUGAACCUCUGCCAAGAAGAUUUGUCCAUGCAGGGUUCAGUAAAAGUUCAUGAAGUCCUCCACAAACUUUAAGUCCUUGAGAUCCGGCUUCACAGAAUUCAGGUCUAAUUUCUUGUUUAGUGUCUUCGUUGCUUCGUUGCAAAAUCCAUUAAGAGGAAAGCUGUCGUUAACAGACGUGACUGGUAAAUUAAUUAUACCAUUCAAAGUGGUUACUCAGUUAUUAUCAGUGGUAGAGGGAUAGACGUCUGGAUGGUGGCAGUGAGCAGCAGGGUGAAUUUGUUAACCCUAUCUAUCUAUCUAUCUAUGAAGAAUCUCUAAUAUUGAACAAGUAGAUCAACUAAUCUCUGAUUAUGUGUGAGUUGAAAUAUAAAAAAACAUGAAGUGUUGGAUGAAAAGUCCAAUCUUUGAAAGCUGACAUGUAGUUUAGAAUAAUUUCUUUGUAAAUUAGCUGCAUCCAGUCAUUAGCAUGACAUUGGCAUCAUGGAACCAUGACCACAUAUAUGUGUCUGGAGAUGGUGGCGUUUUUAUAACGGCACAUUUUCAUGCUUUGACAGAUAAAAUGAGGGAUAAAAGUUUUCAGGCACCCUGAAAAUUUUUACACAUCUUAAAGAUUAUCAUGAAAUAUUUAAGUCUUUUUUUGUGUGUGUUUCUAAGGGUGUGGCUGCAUCAGAAAGACACAAACUAGACGAGCCCUCAGUAGAGGCCAGAACCACGCCCUCUACUGGCGAAAAUCCUGUCUUCCCUAUACAAAUGAUGCAAUAUGUAUCAGUUUUGAUCAUGCUACACAUAUCCCUUCCUACUUGAUCUGCUGACCUGUAACUCCACAAGUGAGCAGGGGACCUUAGACUAAUCUUCAGUGUAAAGUUUGAUUAUCCUGACUUCAGCACUUGCAGAGAUAUCUGACCGGACAUACCUCGCCACAUACCUACAUACAUACAUACAUACUUACCCAGCCAGCCAGCCACAUACCGAAGCGAAUGCAGUAACCCCACUGACGUUCGUCAGGCGUGGUUAAUGAUAUUUAUUUGGUUUGUUGUUUACAAGGAAAACUAACAAAACUAAAUUCUACCAAAUUUCUCAUUUUAUGGAACCAGUCAAUUUUCAGUUUUUAAUGUUUUUUUUUUGGAUGUGUUUAGUUUUAUGAUUGUACCUAAAUAAAUGACUCUUGAAGACCUCAAAGUGAUUCUUAAUGCAGUAUUUCACAAAUGUAUGGGAUGUCCAAAAACUUUUUUCCACUGCUGUAUUUAACAGCAAUCUGAUCUGCUGAUGUUAACAAGACAAACAAGUGAAGGUUUCAGGCUUUUAUCUAGAAUUGCUCUUGGGAUAUUCAUCUUCAAACAGCCUCAAAUUUCAAUGUGAGAAAAUAAAAAUGAGUGAAACUGGAUCUACAGUCCACUGAAAAACCUCUAAGAAAGUAUCUGACAUACUGAGCUAAUAUUUCAUAGAUACCAUUAGAAAUAUCCAUAGUUUAUGAUUUUAAAAAGUUUUUUGAAACGGAGUUCCACUGUUGAAAAACCUCAAUCUCUGAUUCCAGCAUCAGUGCUCCAUUGUUGCAGUUGUAACGUUGUCUUUCAGAUGGUCCUAACACAGGCCACAACUGCUCUGGAAACAACACUCAUGUUCUUGUUUGGAACAGUUUCUCAGUAGAAAUUACGCAGCAAUGUCCAAGUUCUCAGCGGCUCCAGUAAGGAAGAGACUUAAUGUGAGGAAAAGCAUCCUUUGACUUCUUGCUGGAGGUUUUUCUUGUCAGAAAUUGUCUUCCAGUGAGGGACUUCUGACUCUCUGUUCACUUUUCUUGCCCUCUAAUAUUGUUAAAACACAAGAAUCAAUGUUUUGGUUCAAAUCACAUUGUAUUUGCAUGUAGCUCUGUGUUUUCUGCUCCAGGAAUUGGGUGAUGUGUGCGACCCAGCACCCACAGCUGGUUGGGUGUCAUGUGGCUCUGCGUUCUGAUUGGAUGAUUGUCCAACCACUGCCACAAGUAUGAAGGUCAUCCUGCAGGCGUGGCAGGAACACGGAGUGGAAACACAAUAGGGCUCAGUCCCAAAGCGCCCCCUACACACUAUCCCUACACACUACCCCUCCGUUUGCGCGUUCCCCCGGAGGGUCCUCCAUAUUAAGGGCCGUCCCAAACCGCGUCGUGCGCAGGGAUAGUGGACUGUUCAGCCCUUAAAUAGCGAUUCUGCAUCGAUGCUCACUCUGGACAACUUUUUCAGGAAGUGCAACGUCGAAAUGGAGGAGGAAACAAACAUAUUGAUCUAAGUUCCACAUGCGUCCAUUAUUUCUCCCACGCCUUUUUCACACUGACAGAACAUCACAAAAAGAGUGGUGAAAAAAGAUAAAACAAAAGAAACAAAUCUUCUCUGCUGAUGUUUGAUUUAAUUGUGCACCCCCUGACACCUUAAAAUUUGAACGGAACUGACAGAAUUCAUUUAUUCAUUCAUUUGUUGGAUUUGAAAUGCCAGGUAAUAGGAUUGGAAAACAUGUGGGAUGACUUCAAAUUAUUUGAAGCAGAAUGUAGCCCCUACAUCAUUGCCUGCAACCUGUGCCACAGUGCUACAGCCAUGCACAGUAGGCGUCUUUGUGUUACCAUGGCGAUGACGUCUUCCGUUUUCCGGUGAGGCGACAGGGCGUCCCAUUCCUGACGAUCGUAUUUAUACCCUCCCCUUCAAUUAAAGUGCCCUCCACAGCUGCGAGUGUGACUUCUUUGGAGUGACACUCGGUAGUGUAGGGAUAGUGUGUAGCAGUGGUGUAGUGGUCCCUGGAGAAGUGGGUAUACUCUUAAUUUUCACCUUUUUUUUAAAAAUUUGUCCAGAAAAACGCCCUGUUUUAGAAAGAGUGACAUAGAAGACUACUCUAUUCAAUUUGUUUCAGUCAUUUCUACUUGCCCACUAUUAUAAAAUUAUCAUGACUUGAUUAGGAGCAGUUUGUAGUUAUUACUGGUCACACAAGCAAACUGGAUUAAUGUAACAUGUAUUUAUCAUGAGGCAAACAUGGUGUUUCAGUUACUUUUGAACAUUUAUUUAAAUAAAAUACUUCAAAUAUGAAGUUGA